ensembl:lncRNA
CCAAAUUUCACAUCUCAUUCUUUCCAUCAUAUAAAACACAUCUGCCCAAGAGUAGUUCAUCUUCAGUUUUCAGAAAGCGAGGAAGAGAAGGUAUUUUUGCAUCAUUUCUCAUCUGAGCAGGAUACAAUCCGCAGGUCCUAGCUGACAACGUCUCGGAUAAAGGACAAUUUAUUCUCAGCUACUCCCACAACAACCACAACUGCUCCAACAACAACCACAGCUGCUCCAACAACAACCACAGCUACUCCCACAACAACCACA